AGAUGCUGCAUUUGCGGGAGCGAGCGCUGCGACCAGUGCAGUGCAUCCGCAGCAACCUUCUGGUGGUGGUCGGCGACUGCCUUGGGAGGCCCAUGUGGUGGAGGAAGUCGACUACUAAUUGGCAACCGAGGCGUCCGCGUAUGAUUCAACAUUACAAACACUGAUUAGACAUAUUUUGCUGUUUGGACAUAAUGAGACCGUCUUCCUUUCAUGCCACGCUUAACCAGAGGUAUGUGAGUGUUUCUGUCAGAACUUUACAGUGUGAAAACAAAAGGAGUCCCUCAGGAUAGCAACGUUGCACAACCACAUCAUGCAGAAUGACAAGAAACUAUCUGCCCUGUAGAGCAGACAUGGUCACAUCAUUAUCACUAGGUGGCUCUUCCUCCGUUACCCUUAUGUGGAAAUAUGCUGGAUGCUUAGGUUCAGGCAGGGCCAUAAUUUCGCUGCUUAACAUCGCAGCCACACCCGUUGUGGUGGGUCUGUCAACCGCAUUCUCUUGCACACAGAGCAGUGCGAUGUUGAUGCACCUCAUCGUCUCUAACACAUCAGACUCUGAAACUAUUGAUUCAUCGACGAACUCAAGCCAUCUUUCCUCUUUCCACAACUUCCAUGCCUUGCAGGAGUUUAGAUACAUAUAUUAAAUAUAGGUCAUUAGAUAAACAAAGCGAAUUUACAUAUUAGAUACAAGAAAAUACUUACAUAUCCAAGAAGGUUGAAGAAGUCCCCAAAUUGAUGAAAACAUGAGUUCCUUUUUCCAUGGAUGAUCUCAAGAAUUAGCACACCAAAGCUGAAUACAUCAGAUUUGAUCGAGAAGAGACCCUCCGAAGCAUACUCGGGAGCCAUGUACCCACUGAAAAUAUAGGGGGGAAAUAAACUUCUAUUUCAGCUUUUUGUAUAUGGCUGACUUGUGCAGGAUGGACUAAUUUGUAAGAAGAGCUUACUAUGUCCCAGCAAUCCUUUUUGUGUUCCCUUCGGUAUCAUUUGAGCUGAAUAUUUUUGCAAGCCCAAAAUCUGAUAUUUUAGGAUUCAUUUCACCGUCCAAAAGAAUGUUGCUUGCUUUAAGAUCUCUAUGUAUGACCCGUAACCGAGAGUGCUUAUGCAAAUAUAGAAGUCCUUGUGCUAUCCCUUCGAUAAUCGCUUUUCUUUUGUUCCAUUCCAAUAAAGCCUUUUUAGUUUCAUCUGCACACAAGUUAAUGAUAUAUGUAUAUUAGAUGGGGAGGAAGGUUCUGGGGAUAAUUUUAGCAGAUAGAGUUAACCCAUAAUCUGUAACAGAAAACUACAAGGAGUAAUACCAAAGAUAAAGAAAUCCAAGCUUUUAUUUGCCAAAUAUUCAUAGAUUAAUAUUUUCUCUUCUCCUUGAGAGCAACAUCCCAAUAGCCUAACCAAAUUUGUGUGCUGGAGCUUGGCUAUGAGUUGGACUUCAUUUUUAAACUCUGUGAAACCCUGCCCAGACUGCGAAGCUAGUCUCUUAAUUGCUAUUUCCAAACCUCCAGGAAGCUGGCCCUGUGGAGGUUUAAAAGAGCUUGAUCAGUGAUAUCAUCUUGCGAAAUAGAAGCGGUUUACUCAUCUUCUGAUCAGUAACCCCCCAUGCUUGUGAGUAAAAUUAAAGCUACAUGUAUAAAAUCCACUAGGUCGUACAAAUUAGCUAUCGAUGCAAACUAGGUUCGAUUUUUGUUCUCUUUGUGUACAUGGAUAAAUGUGUUCUUUUACCUUGUAUACUGGGCCAAAGCCACCUUGCCCCAAUUUAUUUUCAUCUGAGAAGUUACUCGUAGCAUCUGAUAGUUGUGAAAAGUUAAAAAGCUUGAGCUCUGAACUCCUCCCUAUCCCCCAGACUAACUCUUCAUCUUCCUGAGAGCUCACUUUACCAAAAUUCGAAAAUCAGAGUUUAUGUAAUCCUUUCAGGUAAGCGAAUAUAUAUGAAUCUAAACAGCCUAAGAAAUUUGUGAGUACAGCAACAUUUCCAUAACUAACCUUUAAUGUUCCUUUUGACUAGUUUAAACCAUACAAUGAAGCACAAAAAUGAUGCUAGUAGAAGCAUAGCAGUGGUAAUGAUCCAUACCUUUAUUAUAUGCCCUAAAACGAAAGAUUUCACACAAACAUAGGUGGUUAGUUGAUUAGACAAAUCAACCAAUGUAACUACACAAUAAACUUUGGUAUUUAUGUUUUGAGGAAUAUCCUAACAUAUUAUAAUCUCUUGCUGCAAAAGUUCACUUUUCAACCUUAAGAUCUGAAACCAGUUGUUUUUAACCUUGAAAGAUUGAAUCUGUUCACUGUAGCCCUUUGGCCCUAUCCCAAGCGGUUUUGAGCUGAUUUGGAUGACAUGUGGUAGACAUGUAGCAUCACUUCUGCACGGCAGCCCUUUGCCAUGUUUGCAGCUUAAGUGAAGAGAAAAGAAAAACCGAAACAUUUCCAAAAAAAAUGCAAAAAACCAAGGAAAACAGAAAACAGAAGAGAUGGGAAUUUACGUAUAGAGGUACAACACGUGUCUUCUGAGACAGCUAAAACAACUUGGAACAGGGCCAAUGGGGUAAACUGAACGGAUUCAACAGUUCAAGGUUGAGCACAACCGGUUUUGGAUGUUAAGGGAAAUACAAAUUUUUGUAAUAGUUUAGUGUUGAAAAAUGGGCAUUUUCUGUAUGUUAUUAAGAAUAUUUAAACAUAUAAUAUAGUCUAAGGCUGCAUCGCAAGCAUGGUUGUUGAAUUAAAGCGUUGAUCAAAGGGUAGCAGUCACCCCACCCAGGUGAAUUAAUUAUGUCUUUCAGAAUCAUCAAAAUUGAUUUGCGGUCAUUAGAUCUAGAGACUUAGAUCUAUAUUGAAAGGUGCUCUGUACCCAUAACCCCGCUCAUUGUUCCAGCACAAAUCUACUCGUCAGCUGGGUUCCCAUCAGACUCAAGCAUCGAGUUAAAUGAAGUUUUGGAAUAGCUAGUCAGUCUAAUGAUGCUUGAGUCUGAUGGGCACCAAGUUUGUAUUCAUAAGGAUGCUGCAGUAUAGUCAAUUUCUGUGUCAUAAAGAUGUGAUAGGAUCUCAUAAUAUGAAUACAAACAGAUAUAAAAUAUGGGGAAAGUGCCCUUUAGAAGAAGGAAAAAGGAAGACAGACUAGUUUUAGGGAAAGAAAUAACAUAUUGUCUUACUCUUAUCUUUCUGCCUUGGAACACCAACCGGCCCUGGCGCCGGCAUGUUUGUUGUUGGAUCUACAACAUCUGACCAGCCGGUCUUCUUCGUGGGCUGGUCAUUGUAGAACUGAUACGUGCUGUACCUAAAAUUGCACCACACACCAGCAAUCCAUUCACCAUGUUGCUCGUGGAAGGAACCCCUUGCUACGCUCCUGAUAUUGUCGAGGCAAUCCCAGCAGUCAUUCGGUCGUAGGUCCAGGUUGCACUGCGCCAUAGAGUAGAGCAGCGGGAGUCCGUGGGAGACAUCCAGGCGGCCGGUGGCAUACAUCAUUGUAGAGUUGUAGGCUGCCUGUUUGGCUGUCUCUUGGAGCAGCACCUUGAUGUUGCCAUCAAUGGUGGCGUCGGUGAAGUUGGCGAUCCCAGAGAACUGAUUGCUGGCAUCUGUAGUGUCCUUAAGAAUCAGCAACCUGCGUAGCACCAAACUGGAGUUGUAGACAAGGUCCUCGGUGGAGACGUGGACGAUGCAGUCCCAAUACAAGAAAUGCAUGUCCAUUUGCGAUCCGCAGAGCCGCCAAGCAUCAUGGAACGCGGUGGUGAUGCAGCUGGAGCAUGCAGAUGCUGUGGCGUCGCCGGGGCACUGUGUGACACCAUAAAUUCGGUCUUGGUCGGUUCCGACGAAGCCCUUGGCCUGUAUGGUUCUUGUCGAUGAGGCAUUCGUGGAUAGCACAGUAGAUAGGAGCUCAAGGUUAGCUUGGUAGGUGCUAUUAUAGGGGACGCUGGUGUAGCAGAUCUGAUCCAGUGGAUCGCCGGCGGCGAUGAAUGGCUCGAAGCCGAGAAUGAGCAGUAAGACGAUGAACAUGGCUAACCAAAAGGUUAUUCAGCCCAACCUCUGUAGCAGCUCCUUAUUAUCAGCAUCAUUUGGGAAACUUUUCCAGCUUAUGGUUUGACUGCUUACUUGAUUAGUGAUUAAUGAUAACAUCAGCCUGCAGGCCGUGCACGUAGAAUACAAUGAUGCUGCCGUCCAGGCAUCAUCGGUAUGUGUAAUCAAAAUUAGUUGGAAUACAAGUGAUGCCAGGCAAGUGGAGUACACAAUGUAGAUGUAGAAGAAGGAACAAAUCCAGUUUCAGUGUUUCAGUCAAAGGAGAAGAGGUCUUCUUAUUGCGACCUUGAACGAGCAGCGAAGUCGAAGAUGAUUCUGUUGCGACUGUUUGGUAAGCUGUGGGCUAUCUGUUAGAAGCUGGAUCCAGAAAUAUUGUUUCUUAUACGGAACCGGUUUGAAAAUUAUGUAAGCUCCUUUCAUGCUGGUAUUUGUCAUGACAUUGAAGAUCUCAAGUAUGUAAACUUGGUUGGAAUAUUUUUUAUUAUGUAAUGUUGUUUGUAAACCAAGUUCGAUAUCUCGACAGUUUGUUAACUAAGUUUCAACGGGUAUCUUUUUUUUUUGGAGAGCA